UAGCCAUAAUGUGGACACAAAUUCGUGAGAUCCUUGAACCUUUCUUAGCAUUUAAAGAAAGUUUCUUCCUUUUUUUGGGCAAAAUUCAUGAUUGUGUAUUUGUUUUA